rnacentral:rRNA from 1 species
UACGGGGGGAGCAAGCGUUGUUCGGAUUUACUGGGCGUAAAGGGCGUAGGCGGCGUGACUAGUCACUUGUGAAAUCUCCGGGCUUAACUCGGAACGGUCAAGUGAUACUGUCGUGCUAGAGUACAGAAGGGGCAACUGGAAUUCCCGGUGUAGCGGUGAAAUGCGCAGAUAUCGGGAGGAACACCAAUUGCGAAGGCAGCUCGCUGGGACGUCACUGACGCUGAGACGCGAAAGCGUGGGGAGCAAACAGG